CUGGCUCAGAACGAACGCUGGCGGCGCGUCUUAAGCAUGCAAGUCGAACGGCAAGAGGUAGCAAUACCUCCUAGAGUGGCGGACUGGUGGGUAACACGUGGGUGACAUACCCUUCAGAUGGGGAUAGCUAUUAGAAAUAGUAGAUAAUACCGAAUACGAGCACAGGGGUUAGAGAUCUGUGAGGAAAGGAGCUAAGGCUCCGCUGAAGGAAUGGCCUGCGGCCCAUUAGCUAGUUGGUGAGGUAAGAGCCCACCAAGGCGAUGAUGGGUAUCCGGCCUUAGAGGGUGAACGGACACAUUGGGACUGAGAUACGGCCCAGACUCCUACGGGAGGCAGCAGCUAAGAAUAUUCCGCAAUGGACGAAAGUCUGACGGAGCGACGCCGCCGUGGAUGAAGAAGGCCGGAAGGUUGUAAAAUCCUUUUGAAACUGAAGAAUAAGCGUUGUAGGGAAUGACAGCGUGGUGACAGUAGGUUUUGAAUAAGCAACGGCUAAUUACGUGCCAGCCGCCGC
rnacentral:rRNA from 1 species